rnacentral:sRNA from 10 species
AGGAGUAGUUUAGUAUUCUGUUGUUCAAAAGAUAACGGAGCUUACGGUGGACCACUACUUCUAUCAUCACGACACACAACUUUAUUUUACGUUCAGAAGUAAAAUUCAUGAUAUAAACAUAAAGCAAAAGUGUCCAUCAGGUUUUGAUGAAAGUCGCCUACACAGUCAUGGGUUGUCCAUGGCACACAGAGACCGCAAGUCAAAGUGUAUUUUUACCAAAAACCUCUAAGGGGUCGAACCCUGAGUCAGGUCGCAAGCUUGAAGAGAGUUGAGUAAUGAAAGAGUAGUUAAAACCUUAAGAAGUGAUUGGUCUAACCAAUCGGCGAUGAGAGUUACCAUUCAAAAGAUGGUGGAAACGAAGGGAACCACAUAAUCCUUUAAAAGAUUCUCAAAAUUAGGUGUAUUCUCAACCU